UACUAUAACCUUGGUUACUGUGUAUCAAAGUUCAAAUAAAUGUAAACAAAAUAAAUUCCGAAUCGUUUCGCAAAAUUUAAAUUGAUCGUAUUCUUGCGAUAAGUAGCAAAAGCGCUCCAACAUCAUUAAGAGUCUGAGCAGUGGAUCGAUUGGUCACUCGGUACUAUAAAGAGAAGUUAUGAGAAGUUAUUGGUGGAUAUAGAACUCGUUUGUGGUUACUCACUAUGAUUUAUUCACUCGCAGGACGAUCUCGUUGAAGCUGGGGUUGAUUACUUCCAGUGAUAAUGGCUGAAGCAAUUGGUUGCACUCUAUUCAUCAGUGCUCUUUGAUUCACCGAAGUGCCACUGAGGACACAGUAUUUAAAACUAUAGUAACAUCCUCUAACAUCUCUUGUAAAUUGUCUCAAUUCUACGAGAUAUCAUCUCCGGCAACUGUUAUUCAAUCACUCACUGUGCUCUCACCUUUCAUAUGCGAAAUGAAUGAAUGGAGGAAACCGUUACCCUAUAUAACCACAAACACCGAGUACUCCAUAUAAGCGACAUUUUCGGACCGUUACCAAACACGAAACAUAACGUAUCAACAAUCAACGGCGAUUACAAGAACAGAUUGGUGUUUCCUUCGUGAAUAAUCUUUCAGAACUAGCAAUACAACGCAAAAAAUCUGAAAAAAUUUAUAAAACUGGAGACGAUUAAUUCAAGAAGAAAGAAUUAACAAAGGCUUGAUUUUUUUAACGGCAUUUCCAAUUGAAUAAAUAAAUACUUGUUUCUCAACGACAAACGGAUUGGUUUUGAACAAAAUGCUGCAAUACGACAUGGCAGUUAUUGUAUAUCUCAUAUAUAUACUACAUCAUAAAAAAUGAGACAUUAGAAAACACACAAAUAUAUUUUGUAAUUUUGCUUCUG